rnacentral:rRNA from 1 species
UAUCUCUGUAGAGUCUGCAUAUCAAUAAGCGGAGGAAAAGAAACUAACAAGGAUUCCCUAGUAACGGCGAGUGAAGCGGGAAGAGCUCAAAUUUGAAAUCUUCAAGGUUCUACCUUGACGAAUUGUAGUUUAAAGAAGUGUUUUCUGUUAGAUGAGUAGCAAAAGUUCCUUGGAAUGGGACAUCAUAGAGGGUGAGAAUCCCGUAUUUGGUUAUUCAUUCUAGCUUUGUGAUACACUUUCAAAGAGUCGGAUUGUCUGGGAAUGCAGUCCAAAAUGGGUGGUAAAUUUCAUCUAAAGCUAAAUAUUGGCGAGAGACCGAUAGCGAACAAGUACCGUGAGGGAAAGAUGAAAAGAACUUUGAAAAGAGAGUUAAACAGUACGUGAAAUUGUCAAAAGGGAAGCGUUUGACACCAGUGUUGUUUUUCCGAAAAUCAAUUACGAAUGGCUUGAUUUUGUGUUGUAUUGACCUUAUCAGCUUUCUUCACUUUUUUCGAGUCUUUCUUAAUGCACUUUUCGGUUAACAAGUCAACAUCAAUUUCUUUUGUUGUAAAAGAGUAUUCGGAAGGUGGCUUUCUUUUCGGAGAAAGUGUUUAUAGCCCUAUACUUCUACAAUCGGAGAGAUUGAGGUCUGCAGCGUAGAUCCUUCGGGGUUAGAUACACUUGUGCUAAGUUGUAGCUUUUCAUAGACAACUUGUUGACUAUGUUUAGUCAUGCGGCUUACUCGCUUAUGCUAUUUUACCUACGCUUAGGAUGUUGACUGAUAUGUAGUCGUA